rnacentral:rRNA from 1 species
AUACGUAGGGAGCGAGCGUUGUCCGGAUUUACUGGGCGUAAAGGGCGCGUAGGCGGGUGGAUAAGUCAGGUGUGAAAGCUCCGGGCUCAACUUGGAAACUGCACUUGAAACUGUCUAUCUUGAGGUCAGGAGAGGAAAGUGGAAUUCCUAGUGUAGCGGUGAAAUGCGUAGAUAUUAGGAGGAACACCAGUGGCGAAGGCGACUUUCUGGACUGUACCUGACGCUGAGGCGCGAAAGCGUGGGGAGCAAACGGGAUUAGAUACCCCGGUAGUCCACGCUGUAAACGAUGGAUACUAGGUGUAGGAGGCAUCGACCCCUUCUGUGCCGCAGCUAACGCAAUAAGUAUCCCGCCUGGGGAGUACGGCCGCAAGGUUGAAACUCAAAUGAAUUGACGGGG